CAGCCCCUCGAGUGGUGGGGAUGAUUAUUUGGCCUAAAGCGUCCGUAGCCGGCCGUGUAAGUCCCCCGUUAAAUCCAGCGUCUCAAGCGUUGGACUGCGGGAGAUACUGCUCGGCUAGAGAGUGGGAGAGGUGUGCGGUAUUCUGGGGGUAGGGGCGAAAUCCUUUGAUCCUCAGAGGACCACCAGUGGCGAAGGCGUCUGACUAGAACGGAUUCGACAGUGAGGGACGAAAGCCAGGGGAGCGAUCCGGAUUAGAGACCCGAGUAGUCC
rnacentral:rRNA from 1 species